rnacentral:lncRNA from 1 species
CCCACCGGUUGAGAACCACUGUUUUAACAAAUCAAAUUGUAUGACGUGAUACAGAAGACAUAAAUUCCUGCCCUAUACCUGUAUUAUUAACACUUACUUUAAGCGAAAUUAUAUGUAUGUAAAGUUAUGAUCACAUUUGAAAGCCAAAAGAUUGCAAUGGUAUUGUUUUCAGUAAUAUGUAUGGCAUUUUACAGUUCAAGUGUAAGAAAAUGUACUCAUUAUAAAAUAGACUGUAAUCAAUGAUAUAGCCGAAACUGCUUUAAAUUAUAACAAAUCGCGUCCGUGCUGUGAAUUGAGGUGAAAGCAGAGACCACAGCGUGUUUUUUGGCCAGAACGCUUACGAGGCGUCAUGAAGACUUUUAUAUGCUAUUUAUAUGCGUGUCGUCAUCUAUGUGUCUCACGCAGUCGGUGGUACGAUUCAUCGUGUUUUACCUUGUUUUCUGCAGAUUCGUCAGAUUCCGAGAUCGACUAUCAAGUGAGGCACGAAAAGCUGGAUAUCCGUCAAAUAAAACUUUGUGUCCGUUGUUAAAUAACGUAGUUUGUUUAGCACAUUUCCUGAUUUAGGCAAACGUCGAUGGAAAUAAACAAAGUGGAGUCCACCAGCGGGAUUCGACUUCAACACACAAGGUGCAGAAAUGGGCGUGUCAGGUGCAGAAAUGGGACCCACAUCAAGGCCCAGUGGCUAAUGCUGCGUCACGCCCCCAAGGUUGGGGGCUCAAAUCUGGGUCCUGGCUUUAUCUGUGCAGAGAUGGCAAUCCCAUUUUUGGAUUGGGGUUCCUCCAGGUUUGCCGGUUUCCUCUCACCAUCCAAAGGC